UACGGGGGGGGCAAGCGUUGUUCGGAAUUACUGGGCGUAAAGGGCUCGUAGGCGGCCAACUAAGUCGGACGUGAAAUCCCUCGGCUUAACCGGGGAACUGCGUCCGAUACUGGAUGGCUUGAGUUCGGGAGAGGGAUGCGGAAUUCCAGGUGUAGCGGUGAAAUGCGUAGAUAUCUGGAGGAACACCGGUGGCGAAGGCGGCAUCCUGGACCGACACUGACGCUGAGGAGCGAAAGCGUGGGGAGCAAAAGGG
rnacentral:rRNA from 1 species